AGUGAACGCUGGCGGUAGGCCUAACACAUGCAAGUCGAACGGCAGCACAGUAAGAGCUUGCUCUUACGGGUGGCGAGUGGCGGACGGGUGAGGAAUACAUCGGAAUCUACUUUUUCGUGGGGGAUAACGUAGGGAAACUUACGCUAAUACCGCAUACGACCUACGGGUGAAAGCAGGGGAUCUUCGGACCUUGCGCGAUUGAAUGAGCCGAUGUCGGAUUAGCUAGUUGGCGGGGUAAAGGCCCACCAAGGCGACGAUCCGUAGCUGGGCUGAGAGGAUGAUCGGCCACACUGGAACUGAGACACGGUCCAGACUCCUACGGGAGGCAGCAGUGGGGAAUAUUGGACAAUGGGCGCAAGCCUGAUCCAGCCAUGCCGCGUGGGUGAAGAAGGCCUUCGGGUUGUAAAGCCCUUUUGUUGGGAAAGAAAAGCAGCAGGUUAAUACCCCGCUGUUCUGACGGUACCCAAAGAAUAAGCACCGGCUAACUUCGUG
rnacentral:rRNA from 1 species